ACGAACGCUGGCGGCAUGCCUAACCCAUGCAAGUCGCACGAGACCUUCGGGUCUAGUGGCGCACGGGUGCGUAACGCGUGGGAACCUGCCCUUAGGUUCGGAAUAACUCCCCGAAAGGGGUGCUAAUACCGGAUAAUGUCUUCGGACCAAAGAUUUAUCGCCUUUGGAUGGGCCCGCGUUGGAUUAGCUAGUUGGUAGGGUAAAAGCCUACCAAGGCGACGAUCCAUAGCUGGUCUGAGAGGAUGAUCAGCCACACUGGGACUGAGACACGGCCCAGACUCCUACGGGAGGCAGCAGUGGGGAAUAUUGGAUAAUGGGCGAAAGCCUGAUCCAGCAAUGCCGCGUGAGUGAUGAAGGCCUUAGGGUUGUAAAGCUCUUUUACCCGGGAUGAUAAUGACAGUACCGGGAGAAUAAGCUCCGGCUAACUCCGUG
rnacentral:rRNA from 1 species